AACACUGUUAACCUGCGGUACCUGCGGAGGGAUCAUUAACAAGCUGUGGGAGAUCGAUCAAUUUGAUCUCACACCUGGCCAACCUUGUUAACCUUAAAUAUAUUGCUUUGGUGAGCCCUGCUCACCAAAGUCAAACCCUAAACUCUUGAUUGUUUCUGCUGUCUGAGCAUGCAAGUGCAAAAUUUAGUUAAAAACUUUUAACAACGGAUCU
rnacentral:misc_RNA from 1 species